AGAAAACUAGUUAAACUAUAACAUCGGCUUGUCAGACCGAAAUUGUCAUAUAACAAUUGACGUUUUCCA
rnacentral:tRNA from 1 species